rnacentral:rRNA from 1 species
GACGAACGCUGGCGGCGUGCUUAAUACAUGCAAGUCGAACGGAAAGGCCCUGCUCUUGUUGGGUGCUCGAGUGGCGCACGGGUGAGUGUCACGUGUGUAUACUGUCCCUGACUUUGGGAUAAAUUCUGGAAAAUGGGGCUAAUACACGAUAGGAGCUCCUGAUGCGCGGUGGGGGAUGGAAAGUUUCGGCGGUGGUGGCUCGUAUCGCGGCUUAUCAGCUUGUUGGUGUGGUAGUUGCAUACCAAGGUUUUGACGGCUAGCCCGCCUGAGAGGUGGACCAGGGACAUGAGGACUAAGAGACGGCGCAGUCGCCUACGGGACGCAGCAGUGGGAAGUAUUGCGCAGUGAGCGGAAGCCUGAUACAGCGGCCCCGCGAGCGGGAUGACGUGCUACGGGGUGAGAACCACUUUCGCCUGUAACGAAGCGUGAGUGACGGUAAUUGGUAAAAAAGCACCGGCUAACUACGUG